GACGAACGCUGGCGGCGUGCCUAACACAUGCAAGUCGAACGAGAUCCAUGGGAGCUUGCUCCCGGAAGAUCUAGUGGCGAACGGGUGAGUAACACGUGAGAAACCUGCCCUGGAGUGGGGAAUAACUCGGGGAAACUCGAGCUAAUACCGCAUACCCUCGGAUGGUCGCAUGGCCGACCGAGGAAAAGAUUUAUCGCUCUAGGAGGGUCUCGCGGCCUAUCAGCUAGUUGGUGGGGUAACGGCCUACCAAGGCAACGACGGGUAGGCUGGUUUGAGAGAACGAUCAGCCACACUGGGACUGAGACACGGCCCAGACUCCUACGGGAGGCAGCAGUGGGGAAUCUUGCGCAAUGGGCGAAAGCCUGACGCAGCAACGCCGCGUGCGGGAUGACGGCCUUCGUGGUUGUAAACGCUUUCAGCAGGGACGAAAAUGACGGUACCUGCAGAGAAGCCCCGGCUAACUACGUGCCAGCAGCCGCGGUAAU
rnacentral:rRNA from 1 species